rnacentral:rRNA from 1 species
GACGAACGCUGGCGGCGUGCUUAACACAUGCAAGUCGAACGGAAAGGCCCUGCUUUUGUGGGGUGUUCGAGUGGCGAACGGGUGAGUAACACGUGAGUAACCUGCCCUUGACUUUGGGAUAACUUCAGGAAACUGGGGCUAAUACCGGAUAGGAGCUCCUGCUGCAUGGUGGGGGUUGGAAAGUUUCGGCGGUUGGGGAUGGACUCGCGGCUUAUCAGCUUGUUGGUGGGGUAGUGGCUUACCAAGGCUUUGACGGGUAGCCGGCCUGAGAGGGUGACCGGCCACAUUGGGACUGAGAUACGGCCCAGACUCCUACGGGAGGCAGCAGUGGGGAAUAUUGCACAAUGGGCGGAGGCCUGAUGCAGCAACGCCGCGUGCGGGAUGACGGCCUUCGGGUUGUAAACCGCUUUCGCCUGUGACGAAGCGUGAGUGACGGUAAUGGGUAAAGAAGCACCGGCUAACUACGUG